CCGGAGGAAGGUGGGGAUGACGUCAAAUCAUCAUGCCCCUUAUGACCUGGGCUACACACGUGCUACAAUGGAUAGUACAAAGGGUCGCGAAGCCGCGAGGUGGAGCUAAUCCCAUAAAACUAUUCUCAGUUCGGAUUGUAGGCUGCAACUCGCCUACAUGAAGCCGGAAUCGCUAGUAAUCGUGGAUCAGCAUGCCACGGUGAAUACGUUCCCGGGCCUUGUACACACCGCCCGUCACACCACGAGAGUUUGUAACACCCGAAGUCGGUAGGGUAACCUUUAUGGAGCCAGCCGCCGAAGGUGGGACAGAUAAUUGGGGUGAAGUCGUAACAAGGUAGCCGUAUCGGAAGGUGCGGCUGGAUCACCUCCUUUCUAAGGAA
rnacentral:rRNA from 1 species